rnacentral:rRNA from 1 species
ACUCCUGCCGAUGGAUAUCUUGGCUCUCGCAACGAUGAAGAACGCAGCGAAAUGCGAUACGUAGUGCGAAUUGCAGAAUUCAGUGAAUCAUCGAACCUUUGAACGCAAAUGGCGCAUCCGGGCUCCGCUCGGACGCAUGUCUCUUCGAGGGGCGCCUCCAUCCUCCUCGGAGCGAGAGAGCUCUCUCUCUCGUCUCCGGAGCCGGCGGCCGCGCGGGGGAGCCUCGGCUCCCCCGCGCGCCCGCCCAAGGCUGCCUUGCGAGCGCGGCGGCGGCGUCUAACCCGCGUCCCCGCCGGAGUGCUAAGUCCACGACUAGACCUCCGGCGGACGCGUGCCCCGUUCUGCCUCGCGACCCCCGGCGUGCGCGGUGCCUCUCCUCUCCUUUCGGAGAGCGAGGCCCGCCCGCCCCGGCGCGCGGCCGCUCUCUCUGUGCGGCCGCGCGUCUCGAAACCCGCCAUCGAAUGAGGCAAGACUACCCGCUGAACUUAAGCAUAUCACUAAGCGGAGGAGAAGAAACUAACCAGGAUGCCCCUAGUAAUGGCGAAUGAAGCGGGCUGAGCUCACGCUGCCAAUCUGGAGGCCUCGCGUAUGCAGCGCCCCCCGAAUUGUGGUCUAGAGAGGCGUUAUCGGCCGCGCCCGCCGCUCAAGUCCCUUGGAACAGGGUGUCGGAGAGGGUGAGAAUCCCGUACCGUGGCGGGUUGCGGCCUUACGAUGCGUCCUCGUCGAGUCGGGUUGCUUGGGAUUGCAGCUUGAAUUGGGUGGUAAAUUCCAUCUAAAGCUAAAUACUGGCGAGAGACCGAUAGCGAACAAGUACCGUGAGGGAAAGAUGCAAAGAACUUUGAAAAGAGAGUCAAAGAGUGCUUGAAAUCGGUAGGAGGAAACCCGGAUGGGCCCGGCUUCGGCGCGCCGACUCAGCCUGGGGUUCUCCCCAGGUGCACUUCUGCGCGCCGGGUCAGCCGCGCCUCGGCGCCGCGCCUCAACCCGGGAGCGGGGCUUUACGGCCAGCUCCCGUCCUGGCGCGGCCCGGGGCCCGGCUGACGGAACGGGCCCCUCCGACCCGUCUAGAAACACGGACCAAGGAGUCUGACACGUGUGCGAGUACCCGGGUGGCAAGCCCGCGUGCGGAAUGAAAGUGAAGGGCAUGCCCUGCCAACCGACCUUGACCUGCUGUGAGGGGUUUGAGUGGAGCACACCUGUCGGGACCCGAAAGAUGGUGAACUAUGCCUGGGUAGGGUGAAGCCAGAGGAAACUCUGGUGGAGGCUCGUAGCGAUACUGACGUGCAAAUCGUUCGUCGAAUCUGGGUAUAGGGGCGAAAGACUAAUCGAACCAUCUAGUAGCUGGUUCCCUCCGAAGUUUCCCUCAGGAUAGCUUGAACGCAACGGUUUUGUCAGGUAAAGCGAAUGAUUAGAGGCCUGUGGGCUGAAACAGCUUGCACCUAUUCUCAAACUUUAAAUGGGCAAGAGGCCCGGGAUGCUUGAGUGAUCCCGGGCGGCGAACGGCGCGUUCAAAGUGGGCCAUUUUUGGUAAGCAGAACUGGCGAUGCGGGAUGAACCGAACGCCGCGCUAAGGUACCCAAGUGUCCGCUCAUCAGAUACCACAAAAGGCGUUGGUACCUCCAGACAGCAGGACGGUGGCCAUGGAAGUCGGAACCCGCUAAGGAGUGUGUAACAACUCACCUGCCGAAGGUACUAGCCCUGAAAAUGGAUGGCGCUCAAGCGGACCACCGAUGCGCGGCCGCCGGCGCGAGCGCGAGGCGCCGGCGAGUAGGAGGGCGCGGGGCUCGCGGCGCAGCCUUGGGCGCGAGCCUGGGUGAAGCGGGCCCCGGUGCAGAUCUUGGUGGUAGUAGCAAAUAUUCAAAUGAGAACUUUGAAGACUGAAGUGGAGAAAGGUUCCGUGUGAACAGCAGUUGGACACGGGUGAGCCGACCCUAAGAGACAGGAAAACUCCGCCGAACGCGGCUGGUUCUGUCAGCCCGUCCGUCGAAAGGGAAUCGGGUUAAUAUUCCCGAGCCAGCGCGUGGAUGGUGGGCGGCGACGCGAACGAACCCGGAGACGCCGGCGGGAGCCCUGGGAAGAGUUCUCUUUUCUUCUUAACUGCCUCCUGCCCUGGAAUCGGUUUAGCCGGAGCGAGGGCUACACGGCAGGCAAAGCACCCUAAGUCUUGGGGUGUCCGGCGCGCUCCCGACGGCCCGUGAAAAUCCGGGGGAGCGGUUCGUUCUCACGCCUGGUCGUACUCAUAACCGCAUCAGGUCUCCAAGGUGAACAGCCUCUAGUCGAUAGAGCAAUGUAGGUAAGGGAAGUCGGCAAAAUGGUUCCGCAACCUCGGGAGAAGGAAUGGCUCUGAAGGCUGGGCGCAGGGGUCCUAGGCUCGAGGCCGGCUGGCUGCGCGGGGACUACGGCCUCACGGCUGCGGAUCCCGCGCGGCCGUCCGGCGGACGGCCUAGGAGCGCUCCGGCUCUCCCUGCGCGACGAACAGCCGCUUCAGAACUGGCGCGGACAAGGGGAAUCCGACUGUUUAAUUAAAACAAAGCAUUGCGAUGGCCCGCGAGGGUGCUGACGCAAUGUGAUUUCUGCCCAGUGCUCUGAAUGUCAAAGUGAAGAAAUUCAACCAAGCGCGGGUAAACGGCGGGAGUAACUAUGACUCUCUUAAGGUAGCCAAAUGCCUCGUCAUCCAAUUAGUGACGCGCAUGAAUGGAUUCGUGAGAUUCCCACUGUCCCUAUCUACUGUCUAGCGAAACCACAGCCAAGGGAACGGGCUUGGAAGAAUCAGCGGGGAAAGAAGACCCUGUUGAGCUUGACUCUAGUCUGUUACUGUGGAACGACUUGAUGGGUGUAGAAUAUGCGGGAGGGGCAACCCGACAGUGAAAUACCGCAACCGUCAACGUUGUUUUACUUACUCGGUGGCGCGGAGGGAGGCUCGCCUCACUUCUGGAUCCAAGCCGCUUCGUGCGCGCGAUCCGCGUCGGGGACACUAACAGGUGGGGAGUUUGGCUGGGGCGGCACGUCUGUUAAAAAAUAACGCAGGCGCCCGAUUUUGAGCUCAAUGAGAACAGAAAUCUCAUGUGGACCGAAAGGGGAAAAGCUCGGUUGAUUUUGAUUUUCAGUACGAAUACAAACCGCGAAAGCGUGGCCUAUCGAUCCUCUCGUCUUUGGGAAUUUCAAGCUAGAGGUGUCAGAAAAGUUACCACAGGGAUAACUGGCUUGUGGCUGCCAAGCGUUCAUAGCGACGUAGCUUUUUGAUCCUUCGAUGUCGGCUCUUCCUAUCACUGCCUCGCAGCGGGGGCCAAAUGCAGGAUUGUUCACCCACCAACAGGGAACGUGAGCUGGGUUUAGACCGUCGUGAGACAGGUUAGUUUUACCCUACUGCUGUCUGUUUUUCUACGGUAAUUUGGUUCAGUACGAGAGGAACCACCAAUUCGCAUCAUCGGUAUAGCCGCCGCCGGAAACGGCGAUGCGGCGAAGCUGCCAUGCGCCGGAUUAUAACUGAACGCCUCUAAGUUAGAAUCCAUGCCGGAAGGAAAGCCACCUACCGGCCCGGGGACGCCACGAGCAACGGUAGCACUGCCUGAGCCGCGAGCGACCACAAUUCACGGACCCGGGCCGACGAAUCCCUUGCAGACGACUUGAAUAAGGAACGGGGUAUUGUACGCGGCAGAGUGGCCUUGUUGCCACGAUCCGCUGAGAUUCAGCCUUGGUUCUGACGAUUUGUUGCGCGCGCGCAACAACCCUCAGGGCCUCUCCCGUUCCUCAGUCGCUCUCUCGGCGCUCUCCCCCUCUCGCCUCUCCUCCGAGCCCCACUCGCUCGGGGGCGGAGCUGAGGGGGCGAGAGCGCGAUUUCUGCCCCAAGGCAGCGCGCAGGCCACUGCGCAGCCACACCCGGCUCUCCCCGAGCCGCCACUGGGCGCUCCCGCGGUCCCCUCCGGGCUGAAUGCGGCCUCCGGAGCGGGCGGCGCGAGCGUCUGAGUCUACUCAGAGCCUUCCACGCUCUUCUUUGCGUUCCAAAGCACCCACUUCACCGUUACCUCCACCGCCCUCGCCACCGCCCACGCCGCCGCUACCAUUCCGGCCACCCUCCCCACCCUCAUCCCCACCUUGCCCCCGCCGCCCGUUGCAGCUGCCGUCGCCGUCGAGCCCGCCCUCCGACGCUAGCCCCCGCCCUUUACCGCCGCCCUCGCCGCCCUCACCGCGGCCCUCGCCGCCACCCUCGCCUCCGUGUGACACUCCGCCUCCCGCCGCCGCCGCCCCGCCCUCCAGCAUGCCGCCGCUCUCACCCUCUCCCCUCCAGCCGCCCCACCGCCCUAGCUGGCCGCCCCCCCCUCGCCACCACCGUCACCUCCACCGCCCUCGCCGCCGGCCUGCCCCAAGGCAGUGCGCAGGCCACUACGCAGACACACCCGGCUCUCUCCGAGCCGCCACGAGCCGCUCCCGCAGUCCCCUCCGGGCUGAAUGCGGCCUCCGGAGCGGGCGGCGCAAGCGUCCUACCCCCCUCAGAGCCUUCCAUGCGCUCUUCUUUGCGUUCCGAAGCACCCUCUGUAGCAUCACCCAGUCACCUCCCUUGCCACUCUCCUUGCGCACUUGGACGAGGCGUCGCCAGGCACGCACGCCGCUCCCUCCAACCCCGUGUCGGCCGGCCGCCGCCCUCGCCUCCAGCCGCCCCGCCACCCUCACCGGCGUCGCAAGAUCUCUUACACUACCCCCGGCCCUUGCCGCCGCCCUUGCCCCGGCCCUUGCGCCGCCGCCUCCCGCCCCGCCGCACCGCACUCACCCCCGCCCCCCUCGGCCUGCUGCCACUCUCACCACCCCUCGCCCUCGCCGCCGCCGCCCUCGCCGUCGCCACCGUCUCUGCCCCCUCCCUCGCCGCCGGGGCCCGGCCUCGCGGCCACGGCACCCUUGCCCCCACCACCCUCCUUCGACCUUCCGCCCCCGCCCCUGCCCCCUCGCCGCCGCCCUCCGCCCCCCUCCCGCCUCGUUCCCCCUUGGGUUCGUCAAGCGCCCGCCGUUCAAGUUUCGGGCGUUCAUGCCUAAGUGAGGGUGUGUGCGUCUUGGGUCCCGGGGUUGUGUUUUUGUGUGAACGGGAAUGCGCCACGUGUGAUUUUCGGGGCCUGGGGUUGUGCGUUUAUGUGAACGGGAAUGUGCCGCCCUGAGACGGGCAAAGGUUCACGUGCUCGAGUGUUUCUUCCGCGCCCACCCAAGCGGGCGGACUCACUCGCUGCCGGCUUCACCAAGACCGCGACAAGCUCGUCGGCAUGCCGCCACGCAAGCGCAAGGCGGCUAAGACCUCCGCGCCGGUGGUGGUCGAGCUCUCAUCCGACGACGAGCCGGCGGCCGACUCGCGCCGUCGCUCGCGGCGCAAGCAGGUUCGCGCACAUGCGCCUCGCUCUGUGGCGUGCGUACGGCCGCCCCUAACACACGUCCGCCUUGACCGGACAGAACACCAACCACGAGCCGAUGGGUCCGGAUCGGCGACGGAGGACGCGAGCCCAUCUGCCUCACCUGGGGUGACUACCGCCGGCUCGGCACGCCAGACGGCACGGUCGGCCCGGAGCAGCUGCUUCUCAACGACACCCUGGUCGAAUGGUACCUGCGCUUCAAGCUCGAGAAGCAGCUGCGCCAGCUCGGGCUCGCCGAGCGGACCUACAUCUUCUCCCCUUUCUUCAUCAAGCGCCUCCGCCUCGCCCUGCAGCGCCGAGGCGCCCCUACACGCAACUGCGGCGGUCGCUACACCUCCCUCGCAGCACACCACACACACCAGCGCACACGCGCACGCGCUCACGACGGUCCGCCCGCGGCCCGCUGGUCGGCAGGAGAGGCGCUGCGCAAACUGCUCAUCAAGUGGGUCGCGGGAGUGGACCUGCUCUCCAAGGCGAGAGAGGAGCCGAGAGGGGCCGAGAGGGGCCGAGAGGGCAAACACAGAUCAGCUCGAGAUCAGCUCGAGAUCAGCCCGCGAUCAGCGCGAGAUCAGCGCGAGAUCAGCGCGAGAUCAGCGCGAGAUCGGCCCGAGAUAAGCCGGAAGUCAGCCCGAGAUCGGCCCGAGGUGAGCUCGAGGCCCUGCUCGCCUGUCCCCGUCCACGAGCCCCGCCUCGGGGGCCACUGGUCCCUCGGCGUCGUCUGCUUCCCGGGCUCGCGCCACCUCAGCAGUAGCAGUAGCAGCACCUGCCAGCCCACCACCCACCACCCACCAUUCACCAGUCGGUCGCCGCCCGUCGCCUCCCUCUCCCGCCGAGUCUCGCGCGCCCCCCCCCGCCCCCCUCCCUCACCCCUCCCUCGCGCCUCCCUCACACCGCCCCCUCCGAGCAGGCCUCGUCCUCGCCAACGCCCAGCCGGCCCAGCCGGGAGUGGCAGAGGCGCAGGCGGCGGCGGCCUCGUGCGGAGGCUCGCCUCCCCUCCUCCCCUCCUCCCCUCNNNNNNNNNNNNNNNNNNNNNNNNNNNNNNNNNNNNNNNNNNNNNNNNNNNNNNNNNNNNNNNNNNNNNNNNNNNNNNNNNNNNNNNNNNNNNNNNNNNNGCCCCGAAGCACCUGUGGAGCUCUUCCGCCUGCCGGGACAAUAUGACGUGCAUCGGCGUGUCACGCACGCUGCGGCAGCGUCGCGCUCCAUUGAUGUGAGCCAAUCCAGACGUGCGAACUGAGGAUCAAUAGCUUCUUUUUUUGU